CCCAUCAUGUUCGAUCUGCAUGAUCUGCAAAACGGUUUUCGUGACUGUCCUGCAGAAAACGCACAAAAACAGUACUUGCAGUACAUGACAACUCAAUUGGGCUGGGUGGGUUAGCUAGCAACAAAGAAAAAUACCUAAUUGCCUGGCGAUAGUACCACUGCUAUGCAACAUUGAAAACAGAACUUCUUUACAAGACGGGAGCUUUACCGAAAACAAACAAUACAUCGAUGUCGUGUUCCGAGCCAACUGAUCUUCGAUGCAAAAUUAAGUGGCAACACAGUAUUCUGUAUUUUUUGACAGGUAGAGUGAUACUACAGUAGAUCACAGAAUAUUGAUCUGCUUGGAGCUUAAUUAGGGCAGCGGUUCUGGUUUCUCGACUUAGCAUCUGGCGGGCUGGACUGUGUCGUUGCCAUAGGAGGCAUUAUCGUCGUCCUUCCAGCGACGAGGGGCUGUGGCAGCCCUGAUUGGGCGCGGCCUGCCGCUCGGCUUUCUCCGCCGCCGUACGCAGAGCCUUGUCGCUGCGGACGCCGUCCCGGUCCACUCGCCCCUUUCCGUUGCCGGCGACGAGGACGGCGGCGUGGAGCGACACGGUGGCGUACAUAUCGACAAGUUAGUCACUGAGGUGGUUCCGCGCCGCGCGGACUCACCCCUGAGCGCACCAAUUCUGGUGAGCUCCACCGCAUCAGCCACCGCCCCUAGGCGUGCUACACUGCUACCAGCCCACCCUGAUAGUAGUUGAGAUGAUGAGAGCAAUCAGUGGAGAAAUGUUAAGCCAAUGGAGCCUUCAAUUGGAUCCAGGAGGGAGGAGGAACACCGGAGCCACCAUCGGCCGAAGCACGCCACCGCGGAGAGAGGGGCAAUUGUCAGCAAAGUCGUCGUCAGCAGGAACGGAGGGUACGAGGAGAUGCGCCGCCAAGACAGUGGCACGCCAAUAUCAAGAACUAUGGCAACGGACGCCAGAGUCGUCCGGAAUCGUCCCCGGACCGCCUCGAUCCGAGGAAGAAGAAGAAAGAGGAAGGAGAAGACAUCCCACGUGAGUCCCCACCUAUUAGUGCGCGAAGGCAUAAGCCGGUGCCUUGCGCCGGAUUUAAGUGACGACGUACUCCACUCUUUACGUUUUCGACGCGAAGAAGUGUAUUCUCGGAGAAUUCACGAACGGAUAAACCAUCAUAGACUCAGGCGUAAUUAUUCUUUUGAUAGAUUAGUCUCUGACAUUAAUUGUCUUAUUACUUUUUACUCAUAACUCUGAUUGAUGUGAUUCUAACACUUAGAGUUUAUUUGUUACGAGGCUGUUCCAUUAAUUUUUAUUUUACUGUGUGUUUUACACUAGGACUAUUAGGCCAUUUCCGAGACAAUGAUUGCAUCACUUCUCGAAGAUUCAUUGACCCUGAGGCAAGGCAACUUCUUAUCAUGAG
rnacentral:lncRNA from 1 species